AUGGCCAGGGACACAAACAAAGGCACGCGCUUCCACUCCGCGGACAGCAACCACAGCGGCUCCAACAGCACUUCCCCGCCAAGCGUUUCAAAAGUAACGACGCAGCACGUCGUCGGGUCCUUUGCGCAGGCGCGACGAGCCUUUAAGCCCAGCCCCACGCGGCGGGGUCCUGCCCUUUCUCUCAGCCUUCCUGUGAUCUGGCGGGAGCGGCCGGUUCGCGCAGGCGCAGUUGGUGGACCUGGUCGCGCUGUGCCGGGUGUGACACUACGGAGAGCAGAUUACAUAAUCAAAAGCACCAAGUUGAAACAUUUGCAAGGUGUGCAUCAUUUCACAAUUAUUGGCAGUGGUUCAAUGGUUUCAUCUGCUUUGAACAGUUUCUUCCCUAUCAUGAAGAGGAAUAUGGCUGUGAUUUAGCCAGUGGAGGCACACCUGUAUCAUGUGAUUACUGCUGGCAACCAAUCUAAUUACCUCUGCAAGAAAGGUGAACUUGCAUUUAUGUUUGACUUUAACAGUAUGCAGUAAGGUGAAUGCCAUGCUCCAGGCUCCAUCUUGGAAGCAGAGAGAAGCCCCCACCAGAUGCCAGUGCCUUAAUCGUGAACUUCUCAGACUCCAGAAAUGUCCACAUCACCUCUAAGAGCUGUAACACUCACUGUGAAGGUCCGCGGCUUCAUUCUUGAAGUCAGUGAGACCACAAACCCACCAGAAAGAAGAAACUCCACACAUAUCUGAAGGAACAAACUCUGGACACACCAUCGUUAAGAGCUGUAACACUCACCGCGAAGGUCCGCUGCUUCAUUCUUGAAGUGAGUGAGACCAAAAACCCACUGGAAGGAACCAAUUCCCGACACGAUAUGAUUUUUCCAUUUCAAAUAUGUUGCCAAAUUCAUUAGUAUAAAUUUUUUAAUAAUAUUCCCUUACCAUUCAUAUAUGUGUACAUACAUAUAAAAUUUCUUAAUUUAUCUCUCCUUUUUAAAGUAGAUACUACUAAUCUGUCUCUCCUUUUUAAAAUCAACCUUGCUAUUAAACAAUUGCAUUAUCUUAUCUUUGAAAAAACUUUUUUAUAACAUGGGUAUUUGAAAUUAUAACUUUUAACAAAAACUGCUUUAGCCAUAUCUCACAUUUUAAAAAUCUUUUCAUUAUUUAAUUAUCAUUUAGUGAAAAUAUGUUCCAUUUAUGUAUCUUCACUCCAUGGGUUAUUUAGAAGUAUAAAUAACCACACACGAUGCAAACACCAGGGGCAGGAAUCACAGGGCUUCUUUGAGAGUCUGUCUGCCACAGUCUAUAUCUUAAAUAUUUUGUGUUUCAUGAAGCCUAGAAAUAUCUGUCUUUUAAGUAUUAAUACAUUUACACUUAAGGUAGUAUCAUUAUCGUUGUGUUUCAGUCUAUCUUUAUUUUAAAAAUACUGUUGGUCCUCAUUUUUUUCUUUCUUUCCUGGGAUCAUUUAAAUGACUUAUAAUUUUCAGUAUUCAAUUUUAUAUCUCAUAUUGGUUUUAACAAUAUCUAUGUUACUUUGUAAAUGUUGUUCUAGAAUUUCUUCAAAUAAUAUUGUACUAUUUCACAAACAGUGUAAGAACUUUAUAAUCGUUAAUUACAUUUAUCCUUUGUAUCCUUUGAGCACUUCUCAUCCUGUAUUUUAAUUCUAUACCUGUAAAGUUCAGAAGUUUAACCUAUUUGUCACAACCACAACUUUGAAAUGGCAUCUGCCUUGCAUUAUUUGUAAAACUAGUGUACCUUGAAGGAUUUCUCUCAGGUCCUUCAAAUUAAAUAAAGUAGUAAUUUUUACUUUUAAGAAAUGCUGAUUCUAUAUCUAUUGGGGUAGGCUUACAGUCUUCUUAUUUCAUCUGUUUAGUUAUUGAACUACAUUAAUAUGUUAUCUUAUUUUAAAUCAUUCUUACAUUUAUUGUGAAUAAAACAAUGUGCUCUACGUUGUAUAUUUGUUUAUAUGGUAUUGAAUUUGAUUUGCUAACAUUGUGUUUAGUACAUUUGUUUUAUGCUUGUGAAUGAUAUUGAGUUGUAAUUUUUCUUUCAUUAUUUAUUUCUGGUUUUGACAGUAAGCUAGACUAAGGUUAUAAAAUUUGGUGGGGGAGCUUUCUCUUUUUCUAAUAUCUGCAAUAGAUGUAUAAGAUUCGAAUUAUCUAUUCAGUAGAAGUUUUGUAGAACUCAACUCUAAAACUUUCUGGGGAUGAUCAUUUGUAAUUGAAUAGAUUUCUAUAUAUUGAUUCCAUUUAUUUAUUGGUAAUAGGACUAUAAAAGUUGUCCAGUUUUUUUCUGAGGUAGUUUUGAUGAGUUGUAUCUUUUCCCUAGGUAAGUUUCCACAGUGACUAAAUUUUACCAAUUUACUUAAAAUCAUUAUUUAAAGUUAGAUGUCAUUGUCCCUCACUUCUAAGAUGUUGCUUCAUCUAACAUCCUAUUUUUUAUUCUUAAAAUUGUACCUUCUAAGACUUUUCUUGAUGAAUGUCACAAAAGGUAUUUAUGUAAUCAGUCAUGUAAAAGAAACUGUUUAUUUGUAUAUUCUUUUCUCUUUAUCAUAUUUUUCUACUUUGUUUGGUUUAAUCUUUGGUUACUUUGCUAACAUCUUAAGUUGAUUGCCUUGUUCAUUCAUAUAAAGUCCCUUUACAUGUAAGGUGAUAUGUGAGGUAAUAACUCUACUACUAAGUAUGUCUUUACCUGCCCCUCACAAGUUUUGAUUCAAAAUAUUUUUAUAAUUGAUUACUUCUCAUUUAUUCCUGUUUCCAUUAUAAUUUCUUAUUUGACCAAUGACUGACUUAGUGUGCUCUAAAAUUUAAUUGUGUCUUUUUAAAGUAUAAUCUUUUACACUCAGUUUCUACAUUAAUACUAGCCCAGUAUUCAGAUAUGUCAUCUCUAUGACAAUAAUUUACUUAUGUCCUGGUGUAACAUUAAAUUAUGCAAACUGUCCAUGUAACUUAAAAAUGCGUUUUUCCCAGCUACUGGAAUAAUGAAUUACUGAAGUACAUUAAAUUGAAGUUGUCAGUUGGAUUUUUCAAACAUGCAUAUUUACCAAUUGUUUAUCUAAAUUAUCUAUUAAUUAUUGAGAGAAGUGUGUUUAGGUUUUACAAUUUCUCUGAGGCUUUUUCCAAAUUUUGAUUUUAUAUAUGUAAUUGGUGCUAUAUAAUUAGAUGCAUACAAGUUGAAACAUUUUAUCUUCUCUUAGUGAAUUGAAUCUUUCAACAUUAUGUAGUAAUCUCCUUUAAUCUAAUAAUUCUUUUCACUUUAAUAGCUACAUUGUCUGACAUUAAUGUAGUCCCUACAGCUUUUUUUUAGUAAAUAUUCACAUGGCAUAUGUAUGUUUGUUCAAUCCUUCUGCUUUUAAAUUAUCUGUAUCUUUAUCCUAGGUUCGUGUUUUAGAAAUAAUAUAUAGCUGUAUUUGUUUUUUUCUAUGUAUCUGAAUUUUACCUAAUUUGGUCCAUAUACAUAAUGUUAUUAAUGACAUAUUUGGAAUUAUUUCUAGCCUCUUUUUGCACUUUCUCUUUGCCCUUUUUCUUCUAUGCAUGUUUAAUUUACUAAAGUUGAAAUAUAAUCAAUGUCUUUAACCUUUUCCAAAAAAUUAAAAACACUUUAAUUCU